CAGCAGCCACGGUAAUACGUAGGUGGCAAGCGUUGUCCGGAAUUAUUGGGCGUAAAGGGCUCGCAGGCGGUUUCUUAAGUCUGAUGUGAAAGCCCCCGGCUCAACCGGGGAGGGUCAUUGGAAACUGGGAAACUUGAGUGCAGAAGAGGAGAGUGGAAUUCCACGUGUAGCGGUGAAAUGCGUAGAGAUGUGGAGGAACACCAGUGGCGAAGGCGACUCUCUGGUCUGUAACUGACGCUGAGGAGCGAAAGCGUGGGGAGCGAACAGGAUUAGAGACCCCUGUAGUCCCUGUCUCUUAUAC
rnacentral:rRNA from 1 species